rnacentral:rRNA from 1 species
ACGAACGCUGGCGGCGUGCCUAAUACAUGCAAGUCGAGCGGAAUGAUGAAGAAGCUUGCUUCUUCUGAUUUUAGCGGCGGACGGGUGAGUAACACGUGGGCAACCUACCUUGUAGAUUGGGAUAACUCCGGGAAACCGGGGCUAAUACCGAAUAAUCCAUUUUGCUUCAUGGCGAGAUGUUGAAAGACGGUUUCGGCUGUCACUAUAAGAUGGGCCCGCGGCGCAUUAGCUAGUUGGUAGGGUAAUGGCCUACCAAGGCGACGAUGCGUAGCCGACCUGAGAGGGUGAUCGGCCACACUGGGACUGAGACACGGCCCAGACUCCUACGGGAGGCAGCAGUAGGGAAUCUUCCACAAUGGACGAAAGUCUGAUGGAGCAACGCCGCGUGAGUGAAGAAGGUUUUCGGAUCGUAAAACUCUGUUGUAAGAGAAGAACACGUACGAGAGUAACUGCUCGUACCUUGACGGUACCUUAUUAGAAAGCCACGGCUAACUACGUG